ensembl:lncRNA
GAUGCGCUCGGCGCUCUGGCGCCGCUCGGUGUUCGGUUGCCCCCUGUGGCGAGCGAGUGACGGGAGGGACCUGGUCCCAGCCCGUUCACCCCCCGCCGGCGACAUGUCCACCGCCAUGAACUUCAGCAGCAAAAGCUUCAAGCCGCGGCCGCCGGACAAGGGCGCCUUCCCGCUGGAUCAUUUCGGGGAGUGCAGCGCCUUCAAGGAGCGGUUCAUGGAGUGCCUCCGCGACAGCGGCUACGAGAGCGGUGCCUGCCGGCAGCGCGCCAUGGCCUACCUGGAGUGCCGCAUGGAGAGGCAACUUAUGGCUAAUGAACCACUGGAAAAAUUGGGAUUUAAAGACCUGAUUGAUGAGAAAUCAGAAGCAAAACAAGAAAAGUUGUGAUGAAGACGGACAUCUUCACUCCUCAUCCUACUUUUAAAGAUCCAUAAGAACCUGGAGAAAACAGUUACUGCCUGAAGUGUUUUCCAUGUCUCUAAGAACGGUGAAGUCUUAAAAAGACAAAACAAACCCCUUUAUCGUGUAGAUAUUGAACUACAGAUUAAUCUAACGUGGACAUUACUAAUGUGCUUACAGCAGUUACUUGUCAGGUGGAAAUAAAGCUGUUGCGGUACUUGCAAAUUGCUUUUUGUUAAACACCCAUCUUUGGGUUGAUUUCCUUCUCACCCUGCUAUAGUCUUCUUGGGUACUGAGGUGAGGGGUUUUCUUGCAGUCUUUUAACCUUCAUUAUUGUUGGGAGAGUAUUUCUAGUUCCAGACACCAGUCAGGUAGUGAUUCUGCUUUUAUUUACCACACCAACAGUAACUAACUGACUUCACCUGACUUCAUUUAAUUGAAAUACUUCAUGAUGAAUAUAUUUGUUUCUUUGAGUAGAGCUGCCAUAUGUUUUUUUAAUAUCUUUAUAGUGACAUCAGUGUGGAGACAAGAAUUGAAUUUAUUUGUUGUCUCAGUAACUGGUAUUUAUUUGUGUCUCUCUCCCAUGUAAAUGGGAUUGGAUAAUUUUAUUGUUUUAAAAGCAAAUGCUUUAUGUUAAAACCCAGUGUAGAUCAAGAGUUAGCUAUCUAAGAAAUACAGUAUUUCUUUCCAGAACAGGCAGCUGAGCAGGUAAUGUAGCAGGCCAUAGAGUAGAUGAGCAAUCAGGUCAGAGAAUGUCUUUAAGAUCCCUGAUAUUUUCUUAAUUAAUACUGAGUUCAAGACAAAAUAAUUGGGCCUUUUAGCUCCCUAGAAAUAUGUUUCAAGCAGACAAUAAAUUUGUAAAUCCUCUGGAUGCACUGGAUUUCUUGCCCUGUCCCCCCUGCUUGCAGGUGGUUUUUCAUUUUUUUAACCCACUGAAUCAUUUCUCUCUCUAUACAUCUGGCUCUCAAGCAACAAGCUUUAGGGUCAGGGCCUGCAGACAGCGAUACACACACUGUUUGCCAAGACAGUUCUCCUACACUUUCUGCUUUAUUUGGUGUUCCCUGUUUGAUAUAUCUCACCUUUCCUGCUAUUACUGUCUCCUAUUACUGCUUUUGCUUCUCCUUCUUUCCACUGUGCAUCUGUUCACACACAGAGAUCCAGGAAAGGGUAAAAAAACAUUUUCUGCUCUUCAUAUUGAUGGUUGGAACUGGGAUUUAAAUUGUUUUUGAGGUCUAAUCUGAUUGAACACUCUGCACAUAGUUAAGAGCAGGUUCUUGUUUGAAAAGAUUGUUUGUGUGCAGCUGCAUAUUUUUAUUCUGCUUCAUUCUACUGUUCAAAUUAUAUCCUUUGGUAAGAUUAGUACAUUUAUAGAAAAGAAAGCAGAGAUUUUAUUGCUGAAGCAGAUAUUAAAAGACAUUAUAUUAAACCACU